GGUUCGAUGCCACGUCGUCGAGAGCUCAAUGGCGGUGACCAACGAUGCUAUGAUUGAACCAAAAGUAAAAUUUUCACAUCUUGAUAGGAAUCUGUUCAUCUUUUUCCAUAGAUUUACAGAGCCGUUUUGUGUGAUUACAAUU